GAGCUAUCCCCCUACCUGGCGCGCCAACUGUUGAUGCACGAAUCACACAAGUACGAAAAUGGGAUCUCUAGGGAAGGAAGAAUCUUUCUAUUAAAGACGAGCCUGCGACUUAGGCGAAUUGGACGGAUUACAAAGGAUGAUUUCUUCAACGAGCAUAGAUGGAGUAAGAACGAGCUGAUUGUAGAUGAAAGGCGAGCUUGAGGCCGGAAGACGAACUUGAUGUCCGAGGAAGAAUAGAGUUUAUUCGUUUUAUAGCUGAACCUUGUAAAAGGUUGCCUACGUACCCUUAGAAAGGGAUCAAGCCACACGUAGUUCAUAUUAGAAUAAGUGAGCUAGGCCGUCAUUGGAGGUAGGUCGGCAGGUAGUUGACGAGGGAUGAGCUGAUAGCUAGACGAGGAGUUGGACGAGCUGACUAGCUGACAGCUAGGCGAGGAAAUGGUCGCUGAGUGAUGGGAAGAGCUUGAAGACGAGCUGAGGAGCUUGAGGACGAGUCGA
rnacentral:sRNA from 1 species